GGGUGGUUAGCUCAACGGCUAGAGCGCUUCGCUUACAUCGAAGAGGUUGGGGGUUCGAAUCCCUCACUACCCA
rnacentral:tRNA from 1 species